rnacentral:rRNA from 1 species
AGAGUUUGAUCCUGGCUCAGAAUGAACGCUGGCGGCGUGCUUAACACAUGCAAGUCGAACGAGGCGGAAGGGGGCAACUCCUUCCAGUCGAGUGGCGGACGGGUGAGUAACACGUGGGUAACCUGCCCGGAAGUGGGGAAUACCUCGGGGAAACUCGAGCUAAUUCCGCAUGACAUCUUCGGGACGAAAGUCCUGGUGAUCAAAGCGGGGUCGCAAGAUCUCGCGCUACCGGAUGGGCCCGCGCCCGAUUAGCUAGUUGGUGAGGUAACGGCUCACCAAGGCUUCGAUCGGUAACCGGCCUGAGAGGGCGAUCGGUCACACCGGAACUGAGACACGGUCCGGACUCCUACGGGAGGCAGCAGUGGGGAAUCUUGCGCAAUGGGCGAAAGCCUGACGCAGCAACGCCGCGUGGAGGAUGAAGGCCCUUGGGUUGUAAACUCCUGUCGGCUGGGAAGAAGUCAUACGGUGCUAAUACCACCGUGUGUUGACUGUACCAGCAAAGGAAGCCCCGGCUAACUCUGUGCCAGCCGCCGCGGUAAUUC